GGGUUAAAUGCAGAGCACAAAUUCUGAGUAUGGGUCACCAUACUUGGCUGAAUGUCACAUCACGUCACUUUAAAAACAAAUUAAAAAAAGAAAGAUCACCUUUGAUUAAUGUUGACGAAAAAAUGACAUUUGCUGCAGGUUCAGUAAAGUAAGAAAACAGAUCAUUUUACAAGUAGUCUAUUAAAAAUAUCACAACCAUUGUAGAGGUAUGUUUGUUAAAAAUAAUGUGACACUUCAAUACUUACAUUUCUAUUAUCCUGUGAGAAUGUUUCAUGUAUAUGUUUAUUUAUUUAUUUUGCAGGAUCUAUCUGGUCAAGAUUUGUAUCAAAAGAGGUUAAGGUCAGUUACAGACAGAGUCUGGUGGCACAAACAGAGAUCAACGACCGCUAAAGAACAGCAGCUGGGGGAGAUAUUGUUACCGAGCUGGAUGAAGAAAAACAAAUGUGUGUUGAUUUGGCACACAAAGAUGUGAGUGGUUGCUGCUGUCCUGCUGUUUCCACUUCUAUUAAAGCAGAGUCUGAGAUCUCUUUGUGUCAUCAGUGAGGAACCAGAUACACCCAAGCCUGUGCUGUUUAUGUGCAAAUGCCUUGGAUGUGGAGUCUCUUUAAGAAAUAAUGAUGGAAGUGGAGGAGGAGGUCUGUGAAGUAGAUGAUGUGAACACAGCUCUACACUUCAACUUCAACACUGAAUAUGCUUCACAGUUGAGAGACACCCUGACUUUUACUGAAAACUGAAAACCUAUAUGCCACACACAAUGGCCAAUUAUUAUUAUUUGUUUUAUUAAAUUAAUGUGUAUGUAUAUAAAUGCAUGAAAUUUAUUUUUGUUUCUGUAUGUGUUUGUUAGUUUGUUUGUAAUACAUAUUUAUGGAUGAUUGUUUAUUUAUUUGUGUUUGUUGGUUUGUUUGUAAUACAUAUUCAUGUAUUAAA